CAAAGCUUGCCACACAAUAUCUAGUUUUUGC
rnacentral:piRNA from 1 species